UAAUGUAUGGGGAUCUGCCCGAUAGAGGGGGAUAACUACUGGAAACGGUGGCUAAUACCGCAUAAUAUCUACGGACCAAAGCAGGGGCUCUUCGGACCUUGCACUAUCGGAUGAACCCAUAUGGGAUUAGCUAGUAGGUGGGGUAAAGGCUCACCUAGGCGACGAUCUCUAGCUGGUCUGAGAGGAUGAUCAGCCACACUGGGACUGAGACACGGCCCAG
rnacentral:rRNA from 1 species